AUUUAAGAGGCUGGUGGGGGAGGGAACCUUUGUGGAAACCCCCCCCCAGCCUUUAUGAAGCCCCCCAAAGGGGCAACAGGAUUUGAAGUUUGAAGCCUAUUCUGGGAAGAGGAGAAGGAGACCUGAGAAGAUAGAAAACUUUUCUUUAAAAAACUAUUUUUCUACAAACAAACAAACAGGAGGAGAGGGAGAAAUGUGCCGCAGAAAGCAAGCAUUCGCAUUAAGAAGCUCAUCUGCAUUGAAUGAAAUAUUUUAACACAGCUCCUCAUAUAUGGCCCCGAGUCACGACAUGUUGAGUAAGAAUACAGCCUUCUCAGUUGCCGCCUCUGAACUGGGAGGUGGGGCUGAUCUCUCUGCCCAUUUUUUAAAGGGCCUUGAAGUCAUA